GACGAACGCUGGCGGCGUGCUUAACACAUGCCAGUCGAACGGAAAGGCCCUGCUUUUGUGGGGUGCUCGAGUGGCGAACGGGUGAGUAACACGUGAGUAACCUGCCCUUGACUUUGGGAUAACUUCAGGAAACUGGGGCUAAUACCGGAUAGGAGCUCCUGCUGCAUGGUGGGGGUUGGAAAGUUUCGGCGGUUGGGGAUGGACUCGCGGCUUAUCAGCUUGUUGGUGGGGUAGUGGCUUACCAAGGCUUUGACGGGUAGCCGGCCUAGAGGGUGACCGGCCACAUUGGGACUGAGAUACGGCCCAGACUCCUACGGGAGGCAGCAGUGGGGAAUAUUGCACAAUGGGCGGAAGCCUGAUGCAGCAACGCCGCGUGCGGGAUGACGGCCUUCGGGUUGUAAACCGCUUUCGCCUGUGACGAAGCGUGAGUGACGGUAAUGGGUAAAGAAGCACCGGCUAACUACGUG
rnacentral:rRNA from 1 species